rnacentral:rRNA from 1 species
AAACCGUUCAGGGGUAAACCUGAGAAACCCAAAAGAUCGAACGGGGAGAUUCAUCGCCAGCGGCGUUGGCUUCCAUGCGGUUCGCGAUGUGGCCGGGGCUCUCGGGUCCCGGCGGCACGCGUCCGCCGUGGCAUGCCCGGCGUCGUCGGCGUGCACUUCUCCCCUUGUAGAACGUCGCGACCCGUUGGGUGUCGGCCUACGGCACGGGCGGUCGUCUGUAACGUCGCCUCGCGGCGCGCGUUGCAGACCCCCGGUUCGCCCGGCCGGCUGCCCGGCGGUACUCGCACGGUAUCGGGCCGCAGUCUCGUACUGCGUCGGGCCCGCCGCAAGCGCGGCCAGUGACACUCGGAGUUAUACGGACCCGGUGCCGUACCCGAGCCUGGCCAGCUGUUGGUAGGCGGUGUCCUCUGACAGGCUCGCGAAUCACUUCGAAAGGGAUACCGGUCGGCGACGCUACUGCUUUGGGUACUUUCAGGA